AAUUUACUUUUACAUUUGACUAAAGACUAAAGUGAAGAGAGCGUGUGAGAAUGCUCAUUUCAGAUCGUGUCAAACUACAUGUAGGACAGAUGCACGUUUUACAUGAGACUGUGGUCAGAGAGGUUUCUGUUCCUGGACAAAAGCGUGACAGGAAACUUAACCACGUUAAAAAAUAUCCUCAAAUACAGCGACCAAUGUCUUUUGUCUUGGUUAUAUGAGAUGUCAGUGGUGGGAAACAUGCAGAACCAGAUCACAAGGUUUGUUGAGUCAUCUGCUGCUUCUGAGAGUUCAAACUUCAGUGUGAUUGGCUAAUAAACCUGUCAAUCACUCAGAACCAUAGAAGCUGAUCAAUAGGAGGAAUCAAUGAGUAAAAGUGUUGUUUGCGCAUAAAGCUGAGUUAAACAAAGAAGCCGAUUACAGCAUCACUAAAAACAGCAAAUUACCAAAGGACUAAAAUCACAACUACAUUUUUGUCUCCAUAUCUUCUUGUCUAUGUAAUUUUACUUGUGUGUAUCUUUUAUUAUCAAAGCACACCACCUGGAAAUUAAACUGCUUAUGACAUGUUAGACUACUUAUUUCACUAAAACAUAGUUAUAUUUAAGAUUUUAUUUUUAAAAGAUCAAAAUCUUUUUUCUACUUUGGUGAAGUUUAUUAUUUUUACUCUUACUCUACACGGGCAGAAGAUGUGACAUACAUAGAGGGCAAACUUCUGUAUUAAAAUACUUUUACUCUCCAUUAUUUUUUUGGAGACGUAACUGAUAUAAAAUUAUGAUAAAUAUUUACAAGAGGCACUAUCCCAUCAAACCAAGCAAUAAUUGUUAACAUGAAACCUUGUCAUAAGCAUUUUAAGCAUAGUCAUUUCGUUGUUCACUAUAAAGAUUGCCUGGACGGGAAUGUUGUGAUGUUAGCGGAAAGUUGCAUGCUGGUUGUUUAUUUUACUCAUAAGAAAGUACUGCAAAUUAAUAUGAGAUUUAAUAUCACAACCCCAGAGACAAGGUUUGUAAGGUGGCCCUGAAGACUUUAGGUUUGUUUAAUCCUCACCUGUAUUGUCGGUGGGAGCAGUUGGAUGCAGCCAAAGGAGGGAGGAAAGACUCAAAUUAGCUUGGGCACUCCAUGAGCAUGAGAAUAGCAAGAUAGCCUCAGAUCACACAGUGUUCCAGUGACAGUGAAUGCAUUCUCCUGUCUCCCCACACACCACAAACUGAAACACUCAUCACCAAAGCAUAGAAUCCAGAGCUCACUAUAGUGAGCUAUAGUUUACACACACUUGAUUUGUGGUGAAUAUGACUUUAAGUUCAUCAAUAUUCUUUAAUUUUCAUGUUCUCUGUAUCAUAUAACACCAUGGGUAAUUUUUGUCUGAUUUUAAGCGUCUGUGUCUGUGUGUCAGUCUGUUGUCAGUGCAUGUGUUUGACAGCACUGCUUUUCCCAUCAUGCCUUUUGGCUUUGUCCAUGAAGGUGAGUGAAGGCAAAUGCAGUUGCUUUUUUUAUCUUUAUCACCUUGCUGUCUAUUUCUUAAACACACACAUAAACAUGCCUACUUUGAAUAUUAGUCUGACCCAUGAUUAUGUAAAAGACUAAACAAGUAGAAGGACUAGAUGAAAGGGAGUCAGAUAACAGGAAGAGACUGCAUAGGUGGAGUUAUUCUACAUUUAGUAGUACAAAUAACUCCUGUUAAAUAGCUAAACAGCAUUAUUUACCUGAAUUUAACUUUUCUUUUUCCAUUAUGCUACCCAGAUACCUGGCACCUGCUCAUUGUAACAUGGGCAGCAGUAGUCUGGGGAUUUCAUGCGUUCAUUGUGUUGUAUGUAAACGGAGAAUAAGGGCGCUGCUAUGAAUAGAUAACACUCCUUUGUUGCUGGGUCUUAGAGGGACUUUCCAUGAGAAGGUUUUAGUGGCUCUGGUGGGCGAACAGUUAAAUUGUUGCGAGUUUAUGGUUUGAUUCCCCUUCUCUACUGUAAUGUUAAUAAAGUACGAAGGCAAAUUCAGAUUCAAGGAAAAUUAUUACAUAAAAUAAACUUAAAUUCAAUUAAAGUAAAUUCCUUUAUUGUCAUUGUCAUCUAAAAUAACAAAAUUAUGUUAAAGCAUCAUACAGACUGCAUAGUAUUUUAAAAGUGCAUAAUAGUGUAAAGCACCCCCCAUGACAACCACCACGUAAACAUUACACCCACUAUGUAAACAUUAGCAUACAGUAGUAGUAAUAUAUCAGUGCUGCAGCAAAGGGGCAUAUCAACAGAUCACAACAAAAGAACCAAAAGAACUGGGACAUCAAGGACAGGGGAGCAUCCAGUCAGAUGUUUUUUUUAAAUGUCCUGUUGCAGCAAUGCAAAAGUUCACAGUUAUUGUACAGGAUGGAUAUGGUUUACUCACCAUAGGAGAGGAGAGAAUGGGGCAGGGCACUGUUCAGCAGCCUCACUGCCUGAGGGUACAGACUGUGGGCCAGUCUAGAUAUUCUGGCACAUAUGGACCUGUACCUUCCUCUUGAGGGCAAAAGGUGGAACAGGUGGUGGGCAGGAUGGUGUUGGUCACGCAGGAUGUUACGCACUCUCUUCUGACAGCAGGUGGUAUAUAUAUAGAUGUUACACCUCAGUCCUGUAAUUCGUCCCACUGUUGCUGUUAAUGAGUCCGAGCACUAUGGUGUCGUUGGCAACAAUGAAUUUGGAAGGAAAAGAGGCAGAGCAAUCAUGGGUGAACAGAGUAUAGAGCAGAGGGCUGAGCACGUAUCCCCAGUGAAGGGUGGAGGAAGUGUGCUUGUCCACUCUAACCCUCUGUGUUCGACCAGUCAAGAAGUCCACAAUGUUUUCAGUCCAAGAUGGUGUAGCUUGGCUCGAAGUUUGAAUGGCCAGAUCGUAUUAAAGGCUAAAAUCAACAAAGGAGCCUCGCAUAGGUGUUCCAGUAGUGAGUGGAGCACAAUGGCAACGGCAUCCUCGGUAGAACGGUUCUGUCAAUAUGCAAAUUGGUAUGGGUCAAGUGUCGGUGGUAUUGCGCUUUUAAAGUGUUUGAUAACCUGUCUCUUAACUUUUAUGAGUUUUACCCAUAUUCUAACUAGGGGUCAAAUUAUCGCGUUAAUUGCGAUUAAUUAAUUAUAGUCAUAUUUAGCGCGUUAUGUUUUUUUAUCGUGUUAAUCUCAUUUUUAAUCUCUAACUUUACUGUUUCUGUAUGCGAGUUGCUUUAUUAUAAAAUCUGUUUUUAUGUGUUGUUGGGACAACAACACACAUACACACAAAAACACAUUUAUAAUUUUUUUUAUUUCUGUAAUUCCACUCAUUGCCGGAAACCUACACAGAACGCGCGCAGUAAGAGCGAUGUAAACGUCAUGUUAACGUUGGCGGCGUCAGUCACACAGUGGACGAGGUCGAAGAGCCAGUAGAACAGAGUCAGCAGUGCACAGGUAAAAACGCAUUCGUGUCUUGGAAAUUAUUCUCCCGACGUGAAAUAUAAAAGAAAAUAACAAAUAUAAAAUCACCUACAACUUCAAUUUCACUGGUGAAAUAGGCUGCAUAGGCUCAUGAUGUCUGCACUACUGUCCUAUAGUGACCUGCCACAUGAGGGGACAUGCACACAAACACACACAAACACACACAAACACAAACACACACAAACACAAACACAAACACACACCUUCAUCAUCGUCAUUAAGCUGAGAACACGCGAACCACGUUUCCUUCCGUAGUUACUGCACGGACACCGCUGUCCUCACGUGCGCCGCGUACGUUUUCUGGCGUACGCUGCGUAAACCGCGCUUCCUCUUGUGCGCCUCUAAACCAGAACUAACACCAAGACUAAAACCGGGACUAACCCAGUCCAGGACUAAACCUGGUCUUAACCAGGACUAAACCAGGACUAAACCAGAACUAAAACCAGAACUAACACCAGGUCUAAACCAGGACUAAACCAGAACAAACACCAGGACUAAAACCAGGAUUAAUCCAUUCCAGGACUAAACUAGGACUAAAGUAGGACUAAAGCAGGUCUAAACCAGGACUAAAACAAGGACUAAAACCAGUGAUUUCAUAUAUAAAACAUUUCUCUAUCAGUAAUAUUUUUAAUAUGGUUAAGGAAAGACUGGACUUUUUAUUGUCUUUAAGUAGACAAAAGUUAUGUUCAGAUUUCCUCGUCUUUGCUACUUUACAGCAAACAGUUUCUUAUUCAUGGAGACUUGGGCUCAACAGCCAAUUUGGAGAGAUUUGUUAAACAAUAAAUUACUUCAUAAAGUCACUUUUUUUGUUCUAUAUCAGUCUUUUGAUCUGCCACAAUAAUGUAAUAAUGAAUUUAAAUGAAAAUACCUCAAAUUGAAGGCUUUUCUCAGCAAUUUUUAGGUGAGAUUAAAAAGAGAUUAAUUAGAUUAAUUAAUUACAGAUCAUAAUUAAUUAAUCUCUAAAUUUUUUUUAUCGCAUAACAGCACUAAUUCUAACAAUGUUCUAUCAUCAUUAGUUUACUCAAAGUUGCAUUUUGAUUAAUUCAUGUAUGUUUGAGUCUUCUGUAUUGUCCUGCAUUUGAAGCUUGGGUGCUCAUAAAAUGCACUUUUUUACAUACUCCCUAUCUCCAUGUGCUGCCCUGUUCUUACUAGCAUUUAUGUAAAACUGUCAGACUCACUGUCAUACGUGUUGGGUUAAAAAUGCUGCUUUUGUUGCAUGUAAAAGAGAAUUUACAUGUAAAUGAGAAUCAGCCUACAGCUUUUUCUGUGAUGCAUUCAGUUAUAGGGCUACAAUAUGGCAAUAAAAAUCCAAUGGUGAGAUAUUAAGGGAACUGUGAUCAAGCUACAGGAAAUUUUGAUAUGAGUUAUAUUAAAGAGGGAGUAUUAUGCAAAGUCCACAAUUUGGAACUUUCUACAAUAUUCCCUCCUCAAACACAGAUGUAACAUGGUGAUCUAAAUAUGUCAUGUGUGUCAAGUAAUGCCCCAUAGAAGUGUAAUACUAUUUAAUUCUUUUGAAUAUCGCCCAGCCUUAUUUGAAUAAUGUUGACCCACCACAAAUAUUCAACCUUACUGCAAACAUGUUUUUAGUUGACACAAAAAAUAGAGACUGUUGACAAAAUAACACAAAAUAAACUGCCACCCUUAAAGAGCAAGAACAGCUUUCUCAGAUAUAGUUAAAUAUACAAAAAUGAUGAUAUAGUGAUACAGAAGCCUGAGGAAAUUAGACUUUGUUACUUAUUACUUACUUUAUUGAUCCCAAGGGAAACAUUUACUCUGUGCUUUUUCACACCUCAGUGGUAUUGGUGACGUAGUUGGUCCCAGCCCUUUAGAGAUCUUUGUGUUUCAGAGUACUUGAGGUGACAGUAGCGGUCCUGGGUUUGAUUAUGAUUUUAUUUUAAUAGUCAUUAGUUACAAUUACUCUUAUUAAUUGUUUGCAGUUCUAUACCUCAGUACGCAUAAUACUGUUAAAGCAGGUUUACGGUCAAAAUGAGACCAGUGUGCUAUUUGCAUUUUAAUUAUGGAGUGUUUAAUAGUCUGAAGUGCACUAUUAGCAUGCUUCUUAGCUUUACAGUGAUGUCAAAACUCCACUCUCGUCUCUGAAAGUUGUGAAAUGUACUUAUAAACUAAUAGUGGUAAAUAAUUAGGAUGCCCGGAAUGUGUUAGGAAACUGAAGAAUCAUUUUGAACUGCUGCAAACACCUUUAACAUCUCUCUGUUGGAUGGAUAUUUUAUCAGUGGGGACCUAAACUCUGUCAUUUUUCUGCUCAUCAGUAAAUAGUUGAGUCAUUUCCAGUCUCUCUUACUGUUGGUGUGGUUCCUGUCUAUAGAAAUGAAUACAAGUUGCUUUAUUACUCAGUCUAACAUGUUUAUGACCAAGUUAGUAUCUCUGUCAUUCUGCCCAUGUUAUUUGACUCAUGCCUGUGUGAAUGUUUCAAUAACAUCAAUAACAGCAUGUAUAACAUACUGUAUUUCCUCUAGCUACUAACCUACUAAUGCACUAACCAACUUUCUAUUUUCACAGAUUCAGUCAUAUACGCUCAAAUUAACCACUGCAAAAGAGACAAUGCCAAUGAUAUUCAGGGUAGCAACUCAUCUCCUCCAUCAGGACUAUCAGCCCAUUCAAAUCUAACCACAGUGUAUUACCAAGUAACUCUUACCAGGAUGACUCCCACUUACUCCAACUGCGAACAGGAAAUCACAUGAGAGUACAUCUGAUUCCAGGGAAAUCAAAGUGUAUGUGGGCAUUUCCCAAUUAGAUUCAGUCAUUUCUGUGUCUUCUUAGAAAAGUGUUUUGACUGCCGUAGAUGUCUUGACUUCCACCCAGAAAUCAUUAUCAGUCUUAAUGUCAUCUGAUUUAUAUGAUUCUAAGGGGAGGUGUCCAAAUAUUACUUCAAUUACUGUGGAUUUGCAUAGAUGUAGUUUGUUUAAAGCUAACAUGUGUAAUUAGAUUGGCCAACCCACACCAUUUUAUUCUUAAGGCCAGUUCAGACCGGGGCAUCAAGGCGUCCAGUUUAAAUGCAGAGUCUAUAUGGAUGCGAGUCUAGGGCGUCCUGCAUUUUUGUGGCACAUCUUCAGGCGUCAGCGAGGUGUGGAUCUUGUGUUGACGUGGUGCGUCGUCUGCAUUCAGGUGUCAACACUCUGGACGUGAGUCCAGGGCGUCGGCAUCAUAAGGUGAAAAUGCUGAACUUUUGGAGUCAGACGCCCCACGUCAGCCAAUCAGGGUCGACUAUCUAGAGACGUUAGAAGAAAAAAGAGAAAGACAUGGGAACCGGAACUGGGAGCCACAAAUAUUAGCGGAGUAUAAAUAUAUGCCCGCCGCAACUGCCGAGUCAAUUGCCAGGACUACACGAGCACUACACCAGGACCAGACCAGGACUGAACCAGGACUGAACCAGGUCUAAACCAGGACUAAACCAGGACUGGACCAGGACUAAAGCAGAACUAAACCUGUAUCAUUAUACUACUAAUAAAUAUAUACAUACCACAGCCGCAGAGCUGAUCACCUCCGCUGAUGGUUUUAUGUAAUAAAUACACAAAAGAUA